rnacentral:rRNA from 1 species
UUUUACAGUCAGCUUAAGUACCCUAAAAGCACUAGAUCCUUCCCGAUCUUGGAAGCUAAGCAAGGUCAGUCCUGGUUAGUAUUUGGAUGGGAUACUGCCAGUGAAUAGUUGCUGCUGUAGACU